rfam:Ornithorhynchus anatinus Cont26410.2, whole genome shotgun sequence.
CCGCGGUGAGGUCACGGCUCUGUGGCGGUGACAUCGCCACCGGUUGCCACGGAGAUGAAGGCUGAACCCCCCGAUCAGCGGCGUGACGACCGCCCUGCAAGGUUGCAGGGAAGCAGAUGGGCUGGGAG